GAUGAAGAACGCAGUGAAAUGCGAUAAGUAAUGCGAAUUGCAGAAUUCCGUGAGUCAUCGAAUCUUUGAACGCACAUUGCGCCCUCUGGCAUUCCGGAGGGCAUGCCUGUCCGAGCGUCAUUAAUAACCCCUCAAGCCCGGCUUGCGAUUGGGUCAGGCACCGCGUCCACCGCGGUGGACCCGAAAGGGAAUGGCAGGGCCCGAGCGGACCGCGGAUGCAGCGAGCUGUCUAGCACGCGUCUGAGCGGUCUCCGGGCCUGGUCUCAAACCACAACUUCUCAGGUUGACCUCGGAUCAGGCAGGGAUACCCGCUGAACUUAAGCAUAUCAAUAAGCGGAGGGA
rnacentral:misc_RNA from 1 species